UGGAUUUCAAACACAGGGGUUAAUGGUUCGGUUCUCGAUGACAGCACUUAAAUUAACAACAAUGGUGAAGAUUGUUGUAUGUGCUACCAAUCACGACCAUUUGAAUAUUUUUUGUACUGUUUUUGAACACUCAAGUUCUUAUACGUGUAGGGAUUUUGCAUUUUAAUUUUCAGCCUGUAGUGUACAAUCGAGGUGAGUGCCUGCCUUCCUCACUUGCGGCCCAUGACUGGCAUCAGGAAUUUAAUUGUCAGCCUGUAGUGUAUUAUCGAAAGGACUGCAUUUCCUUCUUCGAGCCCAUGACUGGCAUCAGGAUUAUCAUAGUCAGCCUGUAGUGUACAAUCGAGGUGAGUGCCUGCCUUCCUCACUUGCGGCCCAUGACUGGCAUCAGGAAUUUAAUUGUCAGCCUGUAGUGUAUUAUCGAAAGGACUGCAUUUCCUUCUUCGAGCCCAUGACUGGCAUCAGGAUUAUCAUAGUCAGCCUGUAGUUUACAAUCGAAUUGAGUGCCUUCCUCACUUUCGACCUACGACUGGCAUCAGGAAUUUAAUUGUCAGCCUGUAGUGUUCCGUCGAAGUUACUCCGUUUCUCGCUUCCAGCCAACGACCGGCAUCAGGACUUUAAUUGUCAGCCUGUAAUGCAUCGAAUUUGUGACCAGAUCUUCAAGUCGCCAUUCACUUCCGCUCCGAGA